AAUGACUCACAAGCAUGAUGGAGGAUUUUGGCUAAGAUGUUGUGAAAUGUGUUGAAAAGAUGUGUGAUACCUUCUCUUUCAUAUUAGAAGUUACCGGAUCGAAUUGUGUAAAUAUUUCGUAUUGUACAUAUAUAGUUAUGUAUAGUUAUACCAGUUCGUAAAGCGUCAAGGUUGUAAGGUUUGCCAGCUUUAAAGAAGGUAUGUGAGAAUGGCGUUUGCUAGUGUAUCUUCUCUGUUAAAAGCACCGACAAUGUUAGAACAAUUAUUAGAGGAAAUAAACUUCCAGAGGACUAAGGAAAUGCGUCAGCUGUUAAAGGAUGAUUCUGGUUUCGUGAUGCUGCAAGGAACUACAUAUUGGACCGAUUUGUUUGUGAGACAUUUCCUCUUCCAAACAGAACAUUGUAUUGAUUGUGACGACUUACUGUUUUUUGUCCGAAAGCGGCACAUCAAAGGUUCAUCUCGUUAUCUUCCUAAAUUUGAGACUGAAGUAGAUGUGUUUCGCAAAGAUAGUCGCAAGCUGCCUAUAGGGGAUCCAGACAUUGACUGGGAAGAAACUGUUUACUUAAAUCUCAUUAUCCAUCAGUUCGACUACACCUUAACUCUUGCUAUUUGCACCCGAACAAGCCCCAAAGAAUUACAAGUUCUGAAGAGACAUUCACAGAAAGUAUAUGCAUCUCCGAGUCGAAGAAGAAUGGAUACUAAAGGAGAAGUGGAAGAGAUGACAUACCCUCAUAUCUGCUUCAUGGUGGAUAAUUUUGAUGAGGUGUUCUGUGAUAUAUUGGUUCGAGAUGGUGAGAUGGUGUGUGUGGAGCUGGUGGCCUCUGACAGAGAUGGAGCAAUACAGGGUGUGAUAUUUCUUGGUUCCAUUCGCUAUGACGCACUCAAGAAAGUAUACGAUGCCAGGUCCAGUCUCAGUAGUAAGAUGGCCCAGCGGAUGACAUUUGGACUGUUCUCUGGUGCCACAACUCAGCGAGUAGAGUUUGUUCGCAUGAAAGGCCCUCAAGGAAAGGGCCAUGCAGAAAUGGCUGUUACAAAACCUAAAGGUUCUGGAGCAGAAACCCCUACUUCUGAACCGGGAUUGUGUGCAACGGACAUGUGGGACUCCGACUGGGAUGAAGACCCAGAGGAGUUCUAUGUCUAUAGACAUCAGAGGCGGCUGAGUGACCCAAGUGCAAAUCUGAACAACUUUGUGCGAGGUGGAUGGAAGACAAAACCAUAUGAAACAACAGGCGCUAAGUCUCGUUCAGAGAAUGAGGGUCUAGACUCCAUGGCCAAUGGACUCGCAGAAAUAGAGGCAGGUGAUGUGAGAGAUGAGCUCGGGUUUUGCCUACACUCUUCUACUACUACUUCUUGUACUACUUCCCGCUGUCAGUGUGACCCGCCCCACCGCUGCACAGACAGUAUGUUAGCACCCAGCAUGGGCAUGACGCAAAGCUACCCCACUGCCAGUCCAAGAGCUGAAGGAAGAGUGACGAAAUGUCCAUCAUGUAUCAAUAAUAACGUCAGUUCCAGUGAAGAUACUUUUGGUGGCCAAAAUUUGUGCGUAGAGGUCACCUCAGGUGAAGAAAAGGAAGUAGAUUGCAGUGUUGCCAAGACUAGCGAAGAUAGUGACAUUCGGGAUGGCGAUUGUGACAUAAUGCUGCAGUCAUGCGAGGAAGUGUUGACAGAGGAGCCAGGCGAUGUGGCCUGUGCGUGUCCAAAAGGAACACGAAGUUUUACUCAUACAGGUUCUCUGCCUAAGAAGUGGAAAGAUUCAUUGAACAAUCGCACUAAAGCAUGGGGUCGACCUGUGAUCCCACCAUUUAGGAUGACAUCUGAUGGAACAGUGGUAAAUUACUGGUGUGACUUACCACGAAAAUCUGUUACGGGGAAUCAUGAACUGGAUGAUGGAGCUUACAACCCACUGUGGACAAUGAGAGGAUUCACACAGACAUUUCACUUCUGGAAAGAGACUCGGCGUGCACAGUCUGUGCCACUGAAUGCCUUCCUUACGUAUAUAACACUGCCAUGGUGGAGUAUAGCUACAGAUAUUCUGGAUCACCGUGAGGGACCCAUUCUCACAUUUUAGUAAUCGCUUACUGCUGCACAUGCCCGAGAAGCAAUACUCAGGAAGCUUCUGGAGCAACACGGUUACAUGUCUUGACAGUUUUAAGAGUUGGGCUUUGUCUAGAACAAAGGAAAAGCAUACCACGCCACUAGCUGUUAGCAUGAUGUCACUCAGUAGCUAGUAUCUCUGAUUGGCUCUACCCUGGGAAGUACCACACUAACUGCUUACGAAGCUUGCCUCAUUGCCUCACUGGACAAAGAGGGGAACUCCUGAACUAUACGCUUCGUAAGAAGUCACGUGACAUUGAGUCAUUCCCACCUAAUGUAUAGCCCACAGCUUAAUACAGCGCGUGAUGAUUUCUUACUGAAAACUGUCAUAACACAGCAAUCAAUAAUACAUGUAAGUAGCUCUAGGAGAUAUUUUUGUUACAUGUUUCGGCCUUCAAAAGGCCAUCAUCAGGCAAAUACAUUAAACUUUUCAUUAUUAAAUUGCAUGUAAAAUAUAGGAUACAUUGCUAAACUUCCAAGUGUAUACAGUGGUAUAAAAUGAUACGAGUGAAUAUAAAAUAUGAAUUACAAUAAAAGUUGAAGUCUUAAAUAACCAGUUACAUAGUCAAAAG